AGUAACUUAGGCAGAUACUACCAUUAUUCCUCUUUUUUUUUUCUUUUCUUUCUUUCUUUUUUUUUUUUUUUUGCAGAAGGAAGAAAAAAGUGGCAGUGACAAAUUUGAGCUGCGCUCAUGAGCAGGAAAGUCUACACCACAGAUAUGCUGUGCAGAAAAUGUGCAAACAGAAAUAUAGCCCUGGAUUUGAGAACCUCGAGCAGGCAUCUCAUCUUCGUACUUCAAGUCACUGUAGAGUGCUACCUGUGAUUCGUGUUUGCAAAAGAGAAGCUGCAGAAGAGGCACACAGUGCAAGUUUACAGCGUCUACAUGGGAUCAAGUGACGCGGAGGUGUCUUUAUUUCCAUAUAUAGUAUUGAUGAGUGCAACCCUGGCAUAUAGCAUUCAGCUUUGUAACCACAUCCUAAAUCAGACAGGAUACAAGAAGAACCUCAGAAUGAAUAUCAGGGUUGGAAGGAAGACUUUAAAGAAAGAAGAUGCAUUUGGUCAGCUCCGUUCAGCUGUUCACCAAAAGAAGACUGAGAAGUGACUUGUUUAUAGCACCCACAUACUUUAAUGUUUUCUCCUGGAGAAGCUGGCAGCCUGUGGCUUGGACAGGUACACUCUUUGCUGUGUAAGGAGCUGGCUGGAGGGCCGGGCCCAGAGAGUGGUGACUGGAAACGAGCGGUGCUUCCCAGAGAUUACAGCGAGUUAGGAAGAAGUGUCGAUCUGCCUGGAGGUAGGAAGGCUCUUCAGACGGGAUCUGGACAGGCUGGAUCGCUGGACUGAGGGCAAUGGGAUGAAACUCAACGAGACCAAAUGCUGGGUCCUGCACUUUGGCCAGAACAACCCCAGACAAUGCUACAGGCUUAGGGCAGAGUGGCUGGAAGACUGUGGAAGAAAUGGACCUGGAGAUGUUGGUUGACACUUGGCUGAAUAAGAGCCAGCAGUGUGCCCAGGUAGCCAAGAAGGCCAAUGGCAUCCUGGCUUGUGUCAGAAAUAGUGCUGCCAGCAGGAGACAGGAGGCGAUCAUCCCCCUGUACUCAGCUCUGGUGAAGCCACGUCUUGAGUACUGUGCUCAGUUUUGGGACCCUCACUACAAGAAAGACAUUGAGGCCCUGGAGCGUGUCAAGGGAGGGGCAAUGAAAAUGGUGAAGGGUCUGGAGCACAAGUCUUAUGAGGAGUGGCUGAGGGUACUGGGAUUAUAUAGUUUGCAGAAGAGGAGGCUCGGAAGACUUUAUAGCUCUCUACAACUACCCGUGGUUGUGGCAAUGUGGUGGUUGGCCUCUCCUCCCACAUAACCAGCGAUAGAACUAGAGGGAAUGGCCUCAAGUCGUGCCACAGGGGAAGUUCAGGUUGGAUAUUAUGAAAAAUUUAUUCUCCAAAGGAGUGGUCAGGCACUGGAACAGGCUUCCCAGCAAGGUGGUUGAGUCACCAUCUCUGAAGGUGAUGUUAUUUGCUGGUUAAAAAGAAAACAACCAAAAUAAUCCAACCUUUUGUGUCUUUUUAAAAUCCUUCAAAACUGAUUCUCCCUAAGAAAUCAGGACUGAUUAUUGUGCAUUCAAUCUCUCUGCACAGUUCAUUUUUUGUCUCUACAUAGCAUAUCCUCCCUUUGACUGUCUCUUUUCCAAACUCAGAGGUCCCACUUUAUUAAAUUUCUGUUCCUGUGAAAGUCAUUAAUUGUGUCUCUGACCAUCCCUGGCUCCUGCUGUGCACCUUUUCUAGUUCUAUUAGAUCCUUUCUGAGAGGAUGCGAUCAGAGGUACAAAUAAUGAAAAUGCAGAAAUUUGUGGUAAAAAAUACCAUAUAAAUAUUUUAAGAAGUUUCAGUGAGUUAAGAGUCAGAAUUAAAUGAUAACCUAUGUGCCUAUACCAUAGAUUUGAACCGUUGCUUGUCCCAAAGCACAGACUGAGAAUG